UUUGUGCUGACAGUUCCCAGAUGUCUAUCUGCGGCCUAUAUCACACCCCAGAACCACAGGCUCAGAUCUCAGCAGCUUACUCGACGUGCCCACUGGAGUGUCUGGUAAGUAGCUCCAAGGACACUUAUCCAAAUCUGAGCCUAGGACUUUCCCCCAAGGCCCACCUCAGGAAGGAACAGCUGCAUCUCUUAGGGACCCAACUCUCAGCUCAUAUCCACAGUCCACCAGUCUUGCACCCCACCUUCAGGACAGACCGGAAUCCCAGCUCCUUGCCCCCCCCCUGCCCUUGCUGACCCUUCACUGUACGACCGGAUUGGGGACAGUGGCUUCGGAGCAGGUUUCACUCAUCUUCACAGGCAGAGUGACCUCAGGCACCUGUGAGACAUCACUGCUGGCUUGACCCUGUCGCAGCAGGAAAGCCAAGUCCCCAGGGUGGCCUGCAGGUCCUAGUGACCCACCUCCCCAGGUGUCUCCCGACCUCACUGCCCGUCGCGCUCUGCACUGUGUCACUUCACUAGAUGCCUUUCCUCAGGCUCCUGCUGGCUGCCCGUCACCCUUCCCAGAGGUUCUCACUAAGUUGCCCAGGCUGGCCUUGAACUUGAGAUCCUUUCACUUAACCUCCCGAGUAACUGGGAUUACAGGUAUGAAUCACCCUGUCCGGUUGAUUCAUUUACAUAGGUGUGUAGUUGAUUGCAAUGUACAAUAUAGAUGUCAUUGUGAGUCAAACUCAGAAAGGCUCGCUAGUUACUGGGUUAGAGGCCGGCUAGGAUGGGAAGGUUGGGGGCUGAUUGAGAGGUGGUCAGAGUAGAGAGCUGGCUUGGGUCAGUUCCCUGGAAGAGGAUCUGGGUGCAAGUGGUUUAUCAAGGAAGAGAAGGAAGGAAUUGGGAAGCAGAGUGCAACAAGGAUGGGCUUGAGCAGGCUGCGUGCUGCGGAGGGUGGGAGAGGGGGGUGUAGGUAACAGCUCCUGUGUGGCAGAGGAGCCGCCUGUGCAGCAGCUAGAGAGGGGCACACACUGAGAAGGGGUGAGAGUGUGUAACCAACUGUGGCGUGCAUAGGGGAUCCCGAGUCUACGCUCCCAUCCUUCCCUCCUCGCCCCGAACAGGUACUGACCGAGCUCCUCCUCUGUGUGCAAGGCAGGGUCCACCAGGACCUUGAGUUCGGUGCUCUGCAGCAAGUAGCUCUUGAGCUGGGUCAUCAUGGUGCGGAUCUCCUGCAGCAUUUCCGUGCUGGAGGUCUGGCGCGCCAUCAUCUCCAGGCUGUACACCUUAUAGUCCUGCACCAGGCUGCCAAAGUACGAGCCCUUGUCCUGCGCCAGCUCCACCACCUUCUUGUACAGCUUGCGGUUGUUGGAGAGGAAGGCGUGGAAGACGUUGGUAAAGCUGGCAAA